rnacentral:rRNA from 1 species
GCGUGUGUGAUGAAGGCCUUAGGGUUGUAAAGCACUUUCACUGGUGAAGAUGAUGACGGUAGCCAGAGAAGAAGCCCCGGCUAACUCCGUGCCAGCAGCCGCGGUAAUACGGAGGGGGCAAGCGUUGUUCGGAAUUACUGGGCGUAAAGGGCGUGUAGGCGGCGGUUUUAGUCAGGCGUGAAAGCCCGGGGCUCAACCUCGGAAUAGCGCUUGAUACUGAACUGCUUGAGACCGGAAGAGGGUAGUGGAAUUCCCAGUGUAGAGGUGAAAUUCGU